AGUGAACGCUAGCGGUAGGCCUAACACAUGCAAGUCGAACGGCAGCACAGGAGAGCUUGCUCUCUGGGUGGCGAGUGGCGGACGGGUGAGGAAUACAUCGGAAUCUACUCUGUCGUGGGGGAUAACGUAGGGAAACUUACGCUAAUACCGCAUACGACCUACGGGUGAAAGCAGGGGACCUUCUGGCCUUGCGCGAUUGAAUGAGCCGAUGUCGGAUUAGCUAGUUGGCGGGGUAAAGGCCCACCAAGGCGACGAUCCGUAGCUGGUCUGAGAGGAUGAUCAGCCACACUGGAACUGAGACACGGUCCAGACUCCUACGGGAGGCAGCAGUGGGGAAUAUUGGACAAUGGGCGCAAGCCUGAUCCAGCCAUACCGCGUGGGUGAAGAAGGCCUUCGGGUUGUAAAGCCCUUUUGUUGGGAAAGAAAUCCAGCUGGCUAAUACCCGGUUGGGAUGACGGUACCCAAAGAAUAAGCACCGGCUAACUCCGUGCCAGCCGCCGCCGUAA
rnacentral:rRNA from 1 species